GUUUGGGGAGGGUCUGAAAAUCAGUGAGAAUCUGGUGUGCACGCUGGAAUGGCACUCAGAGAUCAUAAAAUGUAAUGACAAAAACCAUGGCUAAGAGCUAAAACUAAAAGUAGAAGACUGUGAAAGUACAAUUGAUCAAUAUAAAGGAUCGUCACUCCCACUGAAUCCUGCCCCCCACCCCUUCCCCAGAUGACUAUAGAGAUCCAAUCUUUCAUUGUAAGAAAAGAAAGCCAUCUAAAAUGGUUGUCUAAUGAUACAGGUUUAGCCAAUAGUGACUCAGAAUCUAUAGCAGUUACAAACAGGAGUAUACUUCCAUCUGUUCUUCGGCACUUUACUUUUUCCUCAAGAACAUGUGAUUAUUUGAAAUGGAAAGAAAAAAAGAUUAUGAUGAGACAGAGUGAAAGGGAUGGGGACAGAAGAUGAGUACACAAGAGUGAGAGAAUACAACAUGAACACAACUGGCUUUGCCAACUUUCUUUUAUCAGAACAGAGAUUGAUUAUAAGUAUUUUAGAAACUUACUGUAUGUGUUGAAGGUAAAAGCUUCUGUUUUCAUUACAUGGAGGUAUGUGGUAUUAUGUAGAGAAAACCAGAAUAAUCCCUACUAUGGGAGGUUUAUUUCUUAGCAUUUUUGUGCCAGUUUAUUUUAUAUUUCAUUAGGUGUUACAAUGGUAACUACAAUUUUAAGAAAUGUUCUUUGUGUUAUGAUAAUACCUGUAGAAAUCCACACGAUGAAUCAGAUUUCACCACCAAGUGUCCUGUCUAUAAACUGAUAUUUUUAAAAUAAAUUGGUGGCUCAUAUUUUGCUUACAAUAAAAGUUAUACAAUAACUACAAUAUUUGACUUUGAAACUUCCUGCUUUUUCUAUUAAAUAUUACUGUGCAUGGAUUUAAUCUUUAAUUUGUAUGGUAAUUCAU